rnacentral:rRNA from 1 species
AGAUUGAACGCUGGCGGCAGGCCUAACACAUGCAAGUCGAGCGGUAGAGAGGUGCUUGCACCUCUUGAGAGCGGCGGACGGGUGAGUAAUGCCUAGGAAUCUGCCUAGUGGUGGGGGAUAACGUUCGGAAACGGACGCUAAUACCGCAUACGUCCUACGGGAGAAAGCGGGGGACCUUCGGGCCUCGCGCCAUUAGAUGAGCCUAGGUCGGAUUAGCUAGUUGGUGAGGUAAUGGCUCACCAAGGCGACGAUCCGUAACUGGUCUGAGAGGAUGAUCAGUCACACUGGAACUGAGACACGGUCCAGACUCCUACGGGAGGCAGCAGUGGGGAAUAUUGGACAAUGGGCGAAAGCCUGAUCCAGCCAUGCCGCGUGUGUGAAGAAGUCUUCGGAUUGUAAAGCACUUUAAGUGGGAGGAAGGUUGUAACUUAAUACGUUGACUAACGUUUGAACGUUACGACAGAAUAAGCACCGGCUAACUCGUGCCAGCAGCCGUA